rnacentral:tRNA from 1 species
GCCGGGAUAGCUCAGUUGGUUAGAGCAGAGG